UACGAAGGGGACUAGCGUUGUUCGGAAUCACUGGGCGUAAAGAGCACGUAGGCGGAUUUGUAAGUCAGGGGUGAAAUCCCGGGGCUCAACCUCGGAACUGCCUUUGAUACUGCGAAUCUUGAGUCCGAUAGAGGUGGGUGGAAUUCCUAGUGUAGAGGUGAAAUUCGUAGAUAUUAGGAAGAACACCGGUUGCGAAGGCGGCCCACUGGAUCGGUACUGACGCUGAGGUGCGAAAGCGUGGGGAGCAAACAGG
rnacentral:rRNA from 1 species